CUCUCAAAAAUAAAUAAAUAAAUUUAAAAAAGAAGGGUGCAUUUAUAGAUUUCUAUGUAACUUAAAAGUACUUAAAAAAAUAACAGGGCUCUUCAACAUGCUGGGGAAAAUAUUGACUAGAUUUGCUGCUGCAAAGGGGUGGCUUCCUGUUUCUCGUGUUCUAUAUUUGAUUGUCUUUACAUUGUUCAGAACGAGAAUAUAUUUACACACUCAUGGUGCAAUAACACGAGGAAAAAUGAAGCAGUUCUUCUCAUUUAGUCUUCUCUAGCUCCUUAGCCAGGAGCGCUCGGGGGGGAACUGAGGCCCAGAAACCCAUGUGACUGCAAGCCAGCCUGCAGUGAGUCAGUGAGUGAGGGAAGAAAAGGCCAUCCCAGAGCCCGCUGAGUCACGUGAUGCCGAACACAGCAAACUGGCUUGUUUUGCAACCCAGGCAGGCCCUUUAACCACAAGCCUGCUGGCCGGCCCCAUGCAGGGGCGGGGGGGGGGGGGCGGUGUGGGGGAGAGUGGAGACGAUGCCAGUAGUCUCCCCUCCAUGAGUCAUGCUCCUUCCCGCAAUAGUUAGGGGAGGAUGUGGAGAUGAUGGGCUGGGGAGUAGAGGCUACUGCCUUUAGACCCUGCCGGGCUGGGUGCCCCAGAGGGUGACGGGCCCGGGGCCCUUGGGGAAGUCCCAAAGGGGCUCCUGCUCCCUUGUGUAGAUUACUAGAAGCACGGACGUUUGCAUCAGACCACCGCUGUGAGUGCCUGCGUGGUGACCAAAAGGACGAGGGCUUUCGGGGGCUUUCACUGACCACUGAGAGCCUGUGGAUGUGCAGGCCACUGUGCUCACGGGCCAGGAGAAUUCCUAAGGCAGGGUUUGCUGGCUCUUUUCUACAGAGGAGGAAACUGAGCCUCCGUGGAGACCUCGGAGCUCCUGGCUCUUGGGCUUUCCAGCUCCCAGUGGGGCUUCUCAGACCUUCAGCCUUCGGCUGAAUCUCACCACCCUCUUUCCGGCUACUCCAGCUUGUAGAUGGCAGCUUGCGGGAUUUCUCAGCCUUGGCAAUCACGUCAGCCAGCUCCUAGAAUAAAUUUCCUCUUACAUGCA